rnacentral:rRNA from 1 species
CCCUUAGAUGUCCUGGGCUGCACGCGCGCUACACUGAUGCAUUCAACGAGCCUAUCCUUGACCGACAGGUCCGGGUAAUCUUUGAAUCUGCAUCGUGACGGGGAUAGAUUAUUGCAAUUAUUAAUCUUCAACGAGGAAUGCCUAGUAGGCGCAAGUCAUCAGCUUGCGUCGAUUACGUCCCUGCCCUUUGUACACACCGCCCGUCGCACCUACCGAUUGAAUGGUCCGGUGAAGCCUCGGGAUUGUGGCCAGUUCACUUUAUUGGGAGUUGGCUGUGAGAACUUGUCUAAACCUUAUCAUUUAGAGGAAGGUGAAGUCGUAACA